GACGAACGCUGGCGGCGUGCUUAACACAUGCAAGUCGAACGGAAAGGCCCUGCUUUUGUGGGGUGCUCGAGUGGCGAACGGGUGAGUAACACGUGAGUAACCUGCCCUUGACUUUGGGAUAACUUCAGGAAACUGGGGCUAAUACCGGAUAGGAGCUCCUGCUGCAUGGUGGGGGUUGGAAAGUUUCGGCGGUUGGGGAGGGACUAGCGGCUUAUCAGCUUGUUGGUGGGGUAGUGGCUUACCAAGGCUUUGACGGGUAGGCGGCCUGAGCGGGUGACCGGCGACACUGGGACUGAGAUACGGCCCAGACUCCAACGGGAGGCAGCAGUGGGGAGUAUUGCACAAUGGGCGGAAGCCUGAUGCAGCAACGCCGCGUGCGGGAUGACGGCCUUCGGGUUGUAAACCGCUUUCGCCUGUGACGAAGCGUGAGUGACGGUAAUGGGUAAAGAAGCACCGGCUAACUACGUG
rnacentral:rRNA from 1 species